GACGAACGCUGGCGGCGUGCUUAACACAUGCAAGUCGAACGAUGAAGCCGGAGCUUGCUCUGGUGAAUUAGUGGCGAACGGGUGAGUAACACGUGAGUAACCUGCCCUUGACUCUGGGAUAACUGCGGGAAACUGUAGCUAAUACCGGAUACGACCCUCGGAGGCAUCUCCUGGGGGUGGAAAGAAUUUCGGUCAAGGAUGGACUCGCGGCCUAUCAGCUAGGUGGUGAGGUACAGGCUCACCAAGGCGACGACGGGUAGCCGGCCUGAGAGGCUGAACGGCCACACUGCGACUGAGACACGGCCCAGACUCCACCGGAGGGCAGGAGUGGGGAAUAUGUCACAAUGGGAGAAAGCCUGAUGCAGCAAAGCCGCGGGAGGGAUGACGGCCUUCGGGUUGUAAACAUCUUUUAGCAGGGAAGAAGCGAAAGUGACGGUACCUGCAGAAAAAGCACCGGCUAACUACGUGCCAGCCGCCGCCGUAA
rnacentral:rRNA from 1 species